AGUUCGGUUGUGUCUGAGGUCCAUUGGAGAGAAAAGCCUUAGAUCCCAAUUAACGAAAUGGGAGGAGAGUUCAUUUUCCUCCAAAUUAGGGUUUUCUUAGAGUUUUGUACUUUGACACUCUCCAAAGUUUCAGCAAUUUCUUGAUAAAAUUACACUGAUGUAUAUAUGUAUGUGUAUAUAUUCACAGGUAGCGAAGUAGCUUCUUGUAGUUCGAGUUUGUGGUUUGCUCCCAAUCCAAGCAAGAGAUGGGGCGAGUUAUUUUUUCUUAUCUACGCACCAUUUUGGCUCACUCUUUGCCUUAGAAUUGUCGUUCCGUACAAGCUCUACGAGAGCUUUACGGAAUUGGAGUAUCUGCUUUUGGGACUGGUUUCAGUGGUUCCUUCUUUCUUGAUACCAAUGCUAGUUGUUGGAGAGGUGAAUUGUCGGAUUAUCUUACCUUUUUCUCCUUGAGGCUUCAUCACAGCAUCAUAAUAAUAAGAAUGGCUCUCAUCCUUCUGGUGGUCAAACCAGUCUAUUUGGGCUUUUCCUCAUGAAACACUACAUCCACUUUGAUCAUUCAUUUGGGCCCGUGGUGAUAGGCCAAUGUUUGUACAAAUUAUUUGGUGAUUUAGUUGGUUGUUGUUUUACUUCUGAAUUAUCCAUGGAUUGCUUGAAUCAAGUUCUUUGGGCUAUUUGAUUGCUAAUAUGGCCGGUCACUUUUGUUGAUAUUGGCUGCUCCUACUGCUUUUAAGAGUUAUUAUUUUUAUGCUUUUUCUGGGUUGUAACUAUAAAAUUGUAUUGUGUAGGCCAGUCUCUGGAUAGUAAUUUUUACUGCUUUUAGGUGUUUUAUUA